UACGGGGGGGGCAAGCGGUGUUCGGAAUUACUGGGCGUAAAGGGCUCGUAGGCGGCCAACUAAGUCAGACGUGAAAUCCCUCGGCUUAACCGGGGAACUGCAUCCGAUACUGGAUGGCUUGAGUUCGGGAGAGGGAUGCGGAAUUCCAGGUGUAGCGGUGAAAUGCGUAGAUAUCUGGAGGAACACCGGUGGCGAAGGCGGCAUCCUGGACCGACACUGACGCUGAGGAGCGAAAGCCAGGGGAGCAAACGGG
rnacentral:rRNA from 1 species